UACGUAGGGCGCAAGCGUUGUUCGGAAUUAUUGGGCGUAAAGGGUGCGUAGGCGGUUUUGGUAAGUCUGAUGUGAAAUCUAUGGGCUCAACUCAUAGUCUGCAUCGGAAACUGCCGGGCUUGAGUAUGGGAGAGGUGAGUGGAAUUCCUGGUGUAGCGGUGAAAUGCGUAGAUAUCAGGAGGAACACCUGUGGCGAAAGCGGCUCACUGGACCAUAACUGACGCUGAUGCACGAAAAGCUAGGGGAGCAAACAGG
rnacentral:rRNA from 1 species